AUGUGCCUGCUGUGUCUGGGGCUGUGUGUGUAUGAGCCACGCGUGUGCCUGCUGUGUUGGGGCUGUGUGUCCCACGUGUGUGCCUGCUGUGUUGGGGCUGUGUGUCCCACGUGUGUGCCUGCUGUGUUGGGGCUGUGUGUCCCACGCGUGUGCCUGCUGUGUUGGGGCUGUGUGUCCCACGUGUGUGCCUGCUGUGUUGGGGCUGUGUGUCCCACGUGUGUGCCUGCUGUGUUGGGGCUGUGUGUCCCACGUGUGUGCCUGCUGUGUUGGGGCUGUGUGUCCCACGUGUGUGCCUGCUGUGUUGGGGCUGUGUGUCCCACGUGUGUGCCUGCUGUGUUGGGGCUGUGCACACAUACAUGUGCUUCCAAAACGUGUGCCUGCUGUGUCGGGGGCUGUGUGUGUACAUCCCACGUGUUCCCGUUUGCAGAGGCCAGCGGGGCUGGGCUGGGAGGGUGGGAGCCUCGCGGACGCCCCAGGCUGGGGGGGUCUCUGAGGUUGGAUUCUUGCAGGGUGGAGGCCAGCACGGCUCCCCCUGUGGACACUCAGGGAGUGUGUGUGUGGUGGGCCUGCAGCUCAGCCGCCCUGGACAGUUCCUGUUUCCUGCAGGGCCCUGUUCAGGGACGGGGCAGGCUCCUGCCCUGGCCUCCUGGCCUCUGUCCUGGCCGGGGCCCAGCGCUGCCGUCUGUUUUCCAGACAGGAAGUGUACAUCAGGAUAGCUCGGUGCACCGAGCCACACGCAGCGUGGGGCUGGAGCCCGUGCCGGCCCCAGGGAGCAGCGGUCACAGGUGCCACCUUCCUGCCCUCGGGUGUCCACCCUGCCCCUCACCUGGAGGGUCCAACAGAGGAGGGACGGAGACGGAGACAGAGAGGGAGGCCGGGCAGGGCGCGGGGCGGAGCCUCUGCGUGCUGGCGGCUGCUUUGUCCCUCACAGAGGAGAGCUUGCGCGUUCUGGACUUGUCCAGGCUCCCGCGCCCCUGGGUUCCGCCGCGGGAGCCCCUGGAGGGCUCUGAGCAGCAGCAGCAGAGUGGCCCCACGGUUCCUCCUGGGCCCAGGCACCAGCUAGGGGGCUGCUUCCUUCCGGUGCCCCACCCCUGCGUCCUGCAUGUCCCCCUACCCUUUGCUGCUGCCGUGCCUCCCCCCCACGCCCCUGCCCUGCUCUCUCCUCUCUUCCUCCCUGUCUCCAUGUCUGUCUUUUUCUUGUUUUUUCCUCAAACAAAAGAACAGCAGAGACGGAAGGAAGCCCCUCCGGCCCGGCCCCCUGCCCGCGACCUCCCAGCUGUGCCCCGGCGCCCCGCUGCCCUCGCCUCUCCUCCUCCGCCCUUCCUGUCCGCCCUGGCCCCCCCACCGCGGACCCCCCAGAAUCUCCCCUCCUGGAAAUGCCAUCACCCUCCCGGGACCGGCCCCUCGCUGGCUGACCUCAGCUCCCCUGGUGGGCUUCCCUCUGGUCAGCGGGGUGAAGGGUCGCGGGCCGUUGGAGGAGCGCCUGGGUCGGUGAAGGCCUCUGGCUGGGUGUUCCCCACGUGGGGGCCCGGGACCCCUGAGGGAGGCUGGGGGGCGGUCUCUGAGGGCUUCCACACCCGUUUCACACUCGUGCUCCCUGCGAGGAAACACAGGGCGGGCACGUGUGCAGCCCGGGCUCCCCGCUGA
ensembl:lncRNA